CAAACAAGUACCGUGAGGGAAAGUUGCAAAGUACUUUGAAGAGAGAGUUCAAGAGGACGUGAAACCGAUAGGAUGGAAGCAGAUGAAGUUGACGAACGAGUGUCGUAUUCAGGGUUGCAUCUUGUGUGCGGUCUGUUCUUGCGACCGAUGUGGGCUGGCGGCUUUGGUCAAUGCACUGCGUCAAACGUCUAUGGAGACCCUGCGGAGGGAUCAUCAGUGGGCUUGCGAUGCGUGGUAUGGCUAAGGUUUCGCCGGUCUUGAAGUCAGCGCCUCAUCUGACCCGUCUUGAAACACGGACCAAGGAGUGUAGCGUUUACGCGAGUCUUAGAGUGUAUCAAAACUUUGAGGCGCAACGAAAGUAAAGGUAGCUUUAGCUGCUGACUUGGGAUGCGUUGUCUCUUGUGGACGGCGCUGGACCAUGGUUAUAUCGCGAUCGCUUGCGAUGCGGUGUAAAUAGAGCGUAAACGGUGCGACCCGAAAGAUGGUGAACUAUGCCUGAGCAGGAUGAAGCCGGAGGAAACUCUGGUGGAAGUCCGAAGCGGUUCUGACGUGCAAAUCGAUCGUCUGACUUGGGUAUAGGGGCGAAAGACUAAUC
rnacentral:rRNA from 1 species